ensembl:lncRNA
GCAAAACACAGUGCUCCAUUGAAAACAACUGGGAAUCGUUUACUGCUAAACUUGAAGCCAUUCUGUGAUGGUAACAUAUCAGACUGAAGUUACUCUGCAGAGCAAAAACGCGCUGGAGAGGUGGAGAAGGACCAGCACUUGAUCUGGAAGCACCACGCGGGACUUACGAUCCUCCCAGGACGAGUUUGAUGGUUUUCUUCCCAUCAGAAGCAUGAGGUUGUGCUCUGGGGUCAGGAUGUCGGUGACACACAGAUGACACGGAGCACUGAAGCCUGCGUGUGAAUCAGGUCUUGGAAGAGGCUGUGCUCUGUUUGCCGCACAGACACUUUCACUCUCUCUGAAGGGAGGUCCUCCUGCACGUAGCCACGCAGUCGGUGUUUUCCAGGUGGCUGCUGUGCACCGGAUGUGUGCCCGUGCUGCAAAACACGUGUCCUUGUUGUGCUUCCUCGAGAGAUGCAUCUGCUGAUGUCAGCUUCCAGGUAAGGCACGCAGGAACCCGCUUCGUGUUGGCAUCUGUGGCCUCUGCCCUCUCCUGGUCCUAAGGAAGUUAAAAGUGACCUAAGGUUGUUUUUCUCUGAGCCGUGGCUAAUGCUGCAGAUGGGGAAGCAAUGGCAGUUUUCCAGCAGCGUUUGGUAUUUACAGACGUGUUGGUUACUAACUUGGUUGGAAUCGGCUCCCACAGCACCCAUCUCUUCUCCAGCA